AAUAAGUGUUGUUUUGCACUAUUUAUGUCUAAUAUUUGACCAUUCGUCUUAUUUGAAUUUUUUAUGAUUAGUAUUUUUAUUGUUAUUGGAUGAUAAAACAUGAAUAGUACUUUAUGUGUGACUAUUUUUUUUAAUUUUAUAUAAAUUUUUUAAAUAAGACGGACGGUCAAAUAUUGGACAUAGAUAUCCAUGACUGCACUUAUU
rnacentral:pre_miRNA from 1 species